rnacentral:rRNA from 1 species
UACGUAGGGACCAAGCGUUGUUCGGAUUUACUGGGCGUAAAGGGCGCGUAGGCGGCGCGGUAAGUCACUUGUGAAAUCUCUGAGUUUAACUCAGAACGGCCAAGUGAUACUGCAGUGCUAGAGUGUGGAAGGGGCAAUCGGAAUUCUUGGUGUAGCGGUGAAAUGCGUAGAUAUCAAGAGGAACACCUGAGGUGAAGACGGGUUGCUGGGCCAACACUGACGCUGAGGCGCGAAAGCCAGGGGAGCAAACGGG